rnacentral:rRNA from 1 species
GACGAACGCUGGCGGCGUGCUUAACACAUGCAAGUCGAACGGAAAGGCCCUGCUUUUGUGGGGUGCUCGAGUGGCGAACGGGUGAGUAACGCGUGAGUAACCUGCCCUUGACUUUGGGAUAACUUCAGGAAACUGGGGCUAAUACCGGAUAGGAGCUCCUGCUGCAUGGUGGGGGUUGGAAAGUUUCGGCGGUUGGGGAUGGACUCGCGGCUUAUCAGCUUGUUGGUGGGGUAGUGGCUUACCAAGGCUUUGACGGGUAGCCGGCCUGAGAGGGUGACCGGCCACAUGGGGACUGAGGUACGGCCCAGACUCCUACGGGAGGCAGCAGUGGGGAAUAUUGCACAAUGGGCGGAAGCCUGAUGCAGCAACGCCGCGUGCGGGAUGACGGCCUUCGGGUUGUAAACCGCUUUCGCCUGUGACGAAGCGUGAGUGACGGUAAUGGGUAAAGAAGCACCGGCUAACUACGUG